rnacentral:rRNA from 1 species
UACGUAGGGGGCGAGCGUUGUCCGGAAUUACUGGGCGUAAAGGGCGCCUAGGCGGUUUUUUAAGUCCGCUGUGAAAGACCGAGGCUCAACCUCGGGAUGUCAGCGGAGACUGGAAGACUGGAGUGUCGGAGAGGAGUGCGGAAUUCCUGGUGUAGCGGUGGAAUGCGUAGAUAUCAGGAGGAACACCGGUGGCGAAGGCGGGUCUCUGGGCCGAUACUGACGCUGAGGAGCGAAAGCGUGGGGAGCGAACAGG